UCUGGUGGAAACUCCAGGAAAGACCAUCUUUGUGAAUAAGGGGUAGAGAUUAUCUUGAAAGAAAUAGAAAUUUCCUUUGUUUCUUACCAGGCUACAAAUGAAAAUUGGGAAGGCUGAAUCCCCAGUGGAGUUGUGAUGACCCAGGGAAUCCACAUAAUUCUUAUAGGCAAGAACCAAAGAGAAUGAUUAGAAAAAUGGAUAUGAAUUUCUUGUGAAGAACCUCAGAAAUCCUUGGGCUGUGGAUUGUCUGCAAGCCUGCUGAACUCCGAUGAGAGCAGCUUUCCUUCCAAAGCCAGGAGCAUCUGCUUCUCAAAGUGCCCCUUUCCUCCCCUCCCUCCCAGAGUGCCCCCUCUUCAGAAAGUCCCACUUCUGCACAAGCAGGGCCUGGGAACAGGGAAUAUUCCUGAACUCCGCAUGUCUUCACCAGGCACUGCUGCCGGUUCAGCUCUCUGAAAUGCUGCUUUCCGAUGAGAAAGCAGACGGGAUGCAGUGUCGCCUGCGAUUUACAUUUCCCUCAAAAGCUCUGUGUUCCUGCAACAUUGUUCCUCAAGCCCACCACAAGUGACCACAGGGGGAAAAACAAUGGGGUAUGCAGAAGGAAAAAGGAGUAAAGGUAAAGGUUCACACCAACAGAGGGAGGGAACUGAGGCUCGCCACAGGGCACAGUGAAAAUCAAGAAUAAAAUAGGCAGACAUCUGCCCCUCUGCUGCCGGCGCGGCUGAGCCAUUCCCAGCAUGGACUUCAUCAGCGAACUCCUGGCACACUGUAGAAUGGGAAUGUCAUCUCUCGGAGAUGGGACAAAAACAUCCAUUGCAUGCAGCCUUCUCACCACUGCGGUCGAGCGAGAGCAAAACCUGAGAAGAGGAAAUUACAGGCAAUCUGUGCUUGUUGAAAACAUACUUGGGUCUGUUUUUUUUCUAAUGGACAUUAUUGCAAUGGGAGAAACAGUAUGUUCUGCUUUGUUUUUACAGACUUUUAGAAGAUACAGAAAUGACAAAGUUCAUCAAUGAACCAGAUGCUGUGCAGAAACUCAACAAAACUCAGUCUAUCACAACUAUGAUGCCAAAAUUAGCCAUCAAGGAUUUUGAUUAAAAUUUGAUGUGGAUAUGUAUAGUGACUACCAGGAAUGGUGGAGAGAACUAGAUUUGUUCCAUCACACUAUGCUGCGGAUAGUUGAUAUUCGGUCCCCUCUCUUCUACCCCAGAGUGCUACUGUCCUGUCCACAGCAGGUUUGCUUAUUUUAAGGUUUUAAAAUCCAGGACAAAGUUUAAAGACUCAGAAUAAAUAUAAAUGGGAUCAGUUGCCUAAUUAGUAAGUGGAGAAAAGGAAUGAAAUGAAUAAUGCAAGUAGAGUUUAGGUUUUAGUCUGAAUGAAAUAUUGAGCUGGACCACAGGAUCCUACAAAGCUGAGAUGUUUGAGAGAAGAAGACGUCUAAUACCUGGGGGAGACCUAACCAAACCAAACUGACAUGCUUGCAAAGGGCAUUUCAACAACAACAA